CACACACUGAAUGUCCCUAUAACAUACACAGGAAUAUCCAUAUAUAUCACACACCAUACUACUCACCCAAUCACACAGGCCAGGACAGAAGUGCAGUAAAUUUGGAUAAGGGGGAAAGGGGGGCAGGAGCAGAGUCUCUCCAAAUGAGCUUACUUUAUAGUGUUUUAUAAAAAAGUACAGGGUGUUGCUAGGAUUUAAUGUCGUAUUAAGGUUUUUGUGCAAGCAUUUCACUCACUAAAGCACCAAGCACCUUUCAGCAGAGAAAUACAAGACAAAGAGCAAGAUGUUCUCCUGAAGAGACGCCGUCGUCCUGUCCGAAGACGUCCCCCAGCGCCCCACUGUGCUCUAAGACUCUUAAACCGUGUGGGUCACCCACAGGCAGACCAGGACGGGUGGGACCCACACAGAUCUUCCACAGGCUCCCUGUGGGUCCCACCUGUCCGGAACAGUCUGCUGUGCUCACCUGUUUACCCUGGCGUGUACAGUCUCCUUCAGCCAUUGCUAACUGGUUCUCCAUCUGCACCAGUACAGGUGAGCUGUUUUAUCCACCUACCUAUUACAGGUGAGUUGUUUUACCCUCCUACCUAUUACAGCUGAGCUGUUUAUACCCACCUACCUAUUACAGGUGAGCUCUUAUACUCACCCACCUAUCACAGGUGAGUUCUUACUGUAGACUCACCUGGUACUGAGCGAGAUUCGUUCCGAACCGUGAAGGCCCCACAGCCAGAUCUUACAUUAUUUACCGAGUUUCAGACAAUUUUGUGGUCAACCAUUUUUAAUUUGUCGGACACAUUAUGAAACAACGAAAGAGUUGCAAUAAUCCAAAGGGGAUGUAUUUUCGCCCUUUCACUUUCAGAUUUUUCUAUUUUCCCCACCACCAGAACCUGAAUCACUUUUUAAUAGGUAGUUUGAUUCUCCAAAAAAAAAAAAAAAAGAAUAUUCACAAUUUGUUUUGCCAGUUGCACAGUUUGGAAGAGACUGGAAUGGUGCUGCUUUGGUCUAAAUCCGUGGACUGUCCAUAACCCCUUUUUUCCAUCCUUACGUCCCUCAAUCACGCAGUGUCCGAUUCGGUGUGCGCUGGGUGGGGUGUGACAGGUGACAGGUGUCACUCUCACUCUGUGACCCUGUGUUCAGUUGUCAUAACAACAGAUGGUUCAGUAGAGGAGAGGAUGCACGGCGGCCAUUUUGUGGCCUCUUGCUGUAUGUGUCUCUGACCACAGUGGGUUUACACUGUGUGUGCAGAAGGGCUCUGCUUUUUCAAAAUGGAGGUACGCUUUUGGUUUUCUUAGAAACGUCCGCACGCACACGCUUGUUUGUCAAAGACAAUUUGUAUGGGUGGUGUUGGUUGUAGAAUUGUUAUCUUGUAGGUAAUUUCUUCUGAAACAUCUGAGAAGGCUCUAAGGCCCGGAUUCAGUCAACGUCUCUGCUUAUCUCUGGCCCCGAAAUUGAACGCGAGUGUUUGUGUUCGUUUUCGUGCUCUCAGACAGUUUCGCAAAUUCAAAAUGCAAUUACCGCUAACUGAGUAAACGAAUACGCAGAUUUUGUUUAUUUAAAAAAAAUAAAGUUUAGCAUUGAAUUAAGGAUUGAAUUGAAUGUUAAGUUGCUUGAAUCUAGACUGAAAAGCAUUAAGUAGAUUUAGUUGUACAAAUAGUAUUUCAAAAAUACCAAAAAAAUUUAGUCUACGUUGCUUUUCCACAUGAGAGCCUCUUUCACUUACUAGUAAUAAUUUCAAUAGACCGUCUAUCAGUAUAGAUACAACGUUGCAAAUUAGCAGCUAGUGCUGUCGGGUAAAGGUGCAAUUUUUAGAAAAAGAACACGCCUGCUUGUUUAUGUAUUUACCAAUACGGAGACACAUCCCACAGUCCUUUUCCAAUACCCUGCGAGGGGUGCAGAGAAAUAACCAGAGGUGGGAAUGAAAUGGCAGCUCCUCACUGUCUUUUAUUUAUUUCGUUAUUUUAUUUUUAUUUUUUUAGAGAAUGGGCCUCCAUUGGGCCUCCACACCUCCAUUACGUUUCUGGUUCUCGCAGUCGGUGGGAAAAAGUUUUUUGGGUUUUUUUUUUUUUAAACCGUCAUGUGCAUGUCAGGUGGAAGUCAAAUUUGUACGCAAUAAUCUAAAUUCUCGCAUAAACUGAUGACUCCCAAUAUUCAGGGCAUUGGUGCGCAUGUAAAUGAUGUAGCCAGUGCCUUUAUACCAAAUACAAAAAAGCUUUCAGCACUUUCCAGUAAUGCAGGAGAGUGAGAGUUUAUGACAGGUGGGCAACUAGGACUGUGUCCGUUUCUGGUUUUCUGGGCAAACUUCGGGGAUUCAUUUCUUAAUUUAGCUUGAACAUUGACAUUCUGGCUGUUCUUGUGCCCCUAUACAAAAUGUUUUAUCAUGAUCGAAUGUACGAGUGAGCCACUGUUGUUGUAUACAGCCAAUAGCUCUUGUAGCCAGAGCAACUGUUGGAAACAAAAACCUGCGUUCGCACCGACUCUCGUGUGCCAGAAUCUCCCACCCCUGAUUGACGACAGUGUUUCUUGCGUGGGAUUUGUCGCAUCGCGGAAGCAGCCGAUAUUUCGCUUGCCUUUUAAUUUUUACCACGCCUCGCAAAAUGCCGUCGAGUUCUUCUUUCUCUCUCCACUCUCCGCUCUGUCGUCGGAAACAGAUUGCGGUUGCUGGUCACACGCCCAGCGAGCUUUUUCAGUUACGCACAAAAGCGAGCUCGGGGUAUUGAUUUGGUGUGCCGUCAAAGCAAAGCAACAAUGGUUUAAUGCAAGAGACGGUGACAGGAGAGGAGCCUUCUGGGUCGGAUUUUAUCGUUGCGUGGGCGUUCGCUGAUGGUUCCGGCGUACACUUAGGACGGAAUUCUCUCGAGCACGUGACCCCCGGAUCUGUUUGAGUGGGCCGGCAGCGGAGCGAACGUGCCGACGGCUGCUUUUUGGCGGCCGCCGUUUGACGAUGAGCAAGUCUCAUCUCGCUCGUUUGACGCAUUCCCCGAUCCGACGAUCGCCCGGUCAGCACGGACGUGUGACGUGGACGUAUCCCGGGUUCCACCACCGGGUGUGACUGACAGAACGGGUGACGUGUUGAAGCUGGGCGCUGUGACUCCCCCGUCUGUUCGACGAUGAUCUGUUCAUCUCGUCUGACACGUCGCUUUCUCUCCCCGAGUCCCAACAUGGCCGCCGCGCGUCGCUCUGAGUGGGCGUGUGCUUACGUGGGAAGCAUAGAUGGACUUCACGUCUGUAACUUGUGUGUGCGUGCGUGCAUGUGCACUGGGACCGCAGAAUAAAUAGCAAGGGAAAAAAUGCAGCUUUAUGGUCCACCUCUAGUAGCUGUUUAAUGAAGCACAGGGUGCAUGAUGGGAAUGUUCUUCCCAAUGGAACAAGCAGAAAGCGUUUGGUUCCAAGCCCUGCUGCCCACGCACACCAUAGGCAUCACAGUGUAGUAACAGGACUGGACCCUGGCUUGUGUUGGAGUGUAAUUGUGAGGUGUGGAGGCAUGCGAGAAACACAGUGUGUUGAGGCUUGGGUAUUUUAUCACAAACUGUGGAGUUCUGGUUAACACCCCAUGAGUCAGGGGUGUCCAGUCUUACUAAAGAUCUGUUGUGGGGGGGGCAGACUCUUCAUUGCAAUGCUAAAACACUUGAUUGACCUGAUCAUGGUCUUGAUGGAAGACCAUGAUUAAGGUGUAUUUAGUGCAGGGCAAAAGCAAAUUUUGCACCAACACCGGUCCUUCUCUGAUAAGGGUGGGGCCUCCCUUUCAAAUGCACGAAGAGCCACGGUUAUGUUCUCUGUGCCAAAACAGCACAUAGCAGAGCCAGUUUCACCGCAGUAGGAUGCACCACAGUGCCAUCGAGUUGCCGCAACAGCGCCUAGCUCAGUCAGAAGUGUGGAGACGCCUUCAGCGUGGCUAUCUCGGCUAGCUCAGCUCACGCCAAUUGCGCUGUACCAUAGACGUGGCACAGCGCCUAGCUCAGUCAGAAGUGUGGAGACCCCCUCAGCGUGGCUAUCUUGGCUAGCUCUGCUCACGCCGACUGCGCUGUACCAUAGACGUGGCACAGCGCCUAGCUCAGUCAGAAGUGUGGAGACGCCCUCAGCACGGCUACUGCGGCUAGCUCAGCUCACGCCAAUUGCGCUGUACCAUAGACGUGGCACAGCGCCUAGCUCAGUCAGAAGAGUGGAGACCCCCUCAGCAUGGCUAGCGCGGCUUUCUCUGCUCACGCCGACUGCGGUGUACCAUAGACGUGGCACAGCGCCUAGCUCAGUCAGAAGUGUGGAGGUGCCUUCAGCGUGGCUAUCUCGGCUAGCUCAGCUAGCUCAGCUCACGGCAAUUGCGCUGUACCAUAGACGUGGCACAGCGCCUAGCUCAGACAGAAGUGUGGAGACGCCUUUUGCACUGCGAUGUACCAUAGACGUGCCGGACAAGCCCCGGCUCCCCGCAUUCAGCUCAGUGAAAGAAAUCCGCUAAGUUCUCCUGGCCUCGCGCACGUGGCCGUUAGCUCUGAGCUUUCAGCUCCGCCGGCCGUGGUGGGGAAUAUCAUGCCCUGGCUUCGGAUGAGCUGGCCAUCUUUUUUUUAUUUUGCCGCCUUUCCCUUUAAGUGCAUUUUCAGUCCAGCGAGAAUUCAAGAGUUGGCUGGGAGGGAGGAAAAAAAAAAAAAACUAAAACUUAUUUAUUUAUUAAUUAUUUAGUACUCCAGUCCUGUGGGGGGUGGGGUGGGGUGGGGUAACCAUGUUUUUAAACUUUCACGGUUCAAAUUUCCUCUGCUCUCUUCUUAAUGGGGAAAACAAUGAAUACCCCGUGUAUGUGGUUUCCGGCACUAAUUCAGUCUUAAUGCAGUGGCACAAUUAAGGGUUAGGAUAAGACGAAUACCAGGAGCAGUUCAGACUUUUAAGGGUCGAGUUUGUCGAACAACGGAAUAGCAGGGAAGAAAGUGUUGGAAUCCCCCUGCUAUUGAACGGAGAUUUCAUACAAAGAGUUUUAACUAAAAAAAACAACGUAAAUAAAGUAUGCAUAUAUAUAUAAAUAUAAAUAUAUCUUUAGUCAGAUGUUUGUGUAUGAAAUGAAUAUAAAUUGUGAAGAAAAGUGUGUUAAAUAGAAUAAUAUAUAAUGUAAAAUUACAUCCGCAUCUAUUUGAUUUUUUAUAUGAUUAAGCCUUUUUGUACAUAAUUUUUUUUAUUCUUUGGGGAAAAAAAGAUAUGCCACGUUAGGAAAUAACUUUGCUCACCAGAAAGACGUUUUUAUAUUGGGUUUCAGAUGUAUGUGUACAUAUAUAAAGAUUUUAACUUGAUUUCUCUGUCUUGGUUUUUUUUUUUUUUUUUUAGAAGCUUUUGGUUCUGAAUUUCAGCAAGUUGAUCAGAUGUAUUUUUUUAUUUAUUUUUUUAUUUCUGUCUCUGUAUCGGGUCACUGGUGAUCAACACUCUCCCCCAGCCUGGUUUUGUCCUUCAGGAGUUUGAUUUUGCCGUUGCCAUAGUUACUGCCGCUUCUGCGGAGUCUUGAGGGCAUGGCCUGGCGGAGGAGGCGUGGCCAGCGCCUCUCCAGCCAAUCAGAAAGCUUGUGUGUGCAUUCACGUUUGUCCGGGAUGCCAGCUCCUUGUCUUUCUCAGAAGCCCCUGACUUGCACUCUGAGACCCCUUCUGUAUUGAGCUGUGUAUCUCAUGUUAAGGAGAUCCCUCCGAAACUUUGAACAGAUCCAGAAAUGAUUAUCCGUGUCCUGAUAAAGUCUUGCACAUUUAAAAAAAAAAAAAACUGAAUGUUCAGUUCCAUGUGUUAGAUGAAGCAGUACAGUGUGGUAUAUCCAUAGCCUCUGUAAUCUCUGGUAAGACAUAUCGGGCUAUUGCCACCGCAAGCUGGAAGCGUUCUUUGCCCACCAGGGCCUUUUUAAAGUACUUGUACUGUACGUGCCGAUUUUCUUGUGCUGCACAUCAAAGAAUCGUGUUUAUAAAUAAUUCGGGGAGCAACGUUUAUUCUUCUCUCUCGAACGUCACAUGCUCAUCUAUUGUACAGAAAUAUAUAUUCAACGAAUGAAGCACUGGAACAGGGAAGGGAGUUUGAGUUUUCAAAGUUUUUUGAGUUUGAGCUGUGGUAAAACGGGGCAAAAAUGCCAACAACAACAACAACGGUCUUUGUGUGGUAUUUCCUGCUAAUGUGAAUGUAUCAAUAUAGAUGAAUAAACCGUAGACACAACCUACGGUCAAUUUAUGUUAAUCUGCGUCAAGACACUGGAUUUCCACGACUGAAACACUACUGUUCACUACUGUUCACAAUCCUCAGCCAACAUUAAAAUUCUGCAAGCUGCUCAUUAUUUCCACAGUCACAUGAUUUUGUCAUUUGACAGCAGUUUCCUGUUGUUUCCCUAAAAGAAGCUGGCAUCCCCAAUGCUUUUCGUGUUUGCUCAUUUUCUUCAGUAAAAAUAAAUGCUUUUAUCACCCAGAACAGUAUGUAGUAACCUAUAUCCUGCCCCCCCCCAAAAAAAAUCUGAUUGUAUGAGAAUUAGACCCAUAUUUCUGUUAGGCUCCCCCCCUGCUGGUCAAAAGAUGGUAUUAAUUUGGGGAUUGUCAGUAGUGUCCCCAAACCCUUAAUAUCAACAGUACAGACGAUCGUGACUGACGAUCGAUUUUUCACACCCUUUCUGUGGCAUUGCCAUCAAAAUGGACGGUAGAGUAUGAUUUCAAGCAUUUAGUUUUUAUUUUCUUUUUUGAAAUUGUAUUUUAUAUGCACACAAUUGUUUUUCAUAGUUUCCGUUGUUCGUUUUAAUCUUUUGACAUGAUUGUGUGGAUGUUCCAGCUCAUGGCAUCAAAAAAAAAAAAAAAAAAAACCCAAUGUGUAAAUAGACUUGAGUCGAUCUUAAGAGAGGGAGUCUGCAAAAUAUUAUGUCAAGGAUCUGUUUUAUUGAAAAGACGGGAAGAAACGAAACGUUGCAUGUAUAAUCUCAUAGAAUCGCACGGUGCAGUUGGAAGAUGUUGUCUAUGUUUUCUAAAAAAUAAAGAUUUUAAAAGAAAAGAAGAAAUAAAUGGGGGACCUCUUGCAAAAAAGGUUAAGUACUGUAGAGAAUACUUUCUAUUUAUUAUUCUACCAUAAUGUCUGUAGUUCAGGCACCUUGGGUAUACUGUGCUCUGUUAUACCAGCGUUUCCCAACCGGUGUGCCGUCAGGCGAGGUCAGGUGUGCCAUGUGAAAAAUCCUUUAAAAAAAUUUUUAAUGUUCAAAUGAAUUAAAAAAAAAAAAAAAAAAAAACUUAAAUGAACAAAUCCCAUUCAUAAAAGCCAAAAAAAUUGUCAUUAAAGUGCAUAUAGCUUAAUUAAAACCCCAAAAGAACAUUUAGGCCUACGUGCGUGCCUGUGUGGAGGGUGUUUAUUUUUUAUGCUCUUGAGAGUUUGUGUGCCAUGAGAUUCUGUGAAUUUGGAAAGUGUGCCGCGGAAGGAGAAAGGUUGGGAAACGCUGUGCUAUAGGAAUGAAAGGAGGGAUGGGUACAAGGUUGAGCAGAUGAGAGAGAGAAAGAGAGAAAGAGAGAGAGAGAGAGAGAGAGAGAGAGAGAGGCUAUCGCAAAACUAACAAACGACAGUGUUCCCUCCGUAAGUGCAGCUGCCAUUUGUAGAGUAGUGUGAUUCAUGAACAACUAAAAAAACACAAAAUACUCCUGAAUAAAUACUGAAGUAUUUAUAAAGUAUGAAUACUAAAGUCCUAAUUAAUCGGUGUGGAUGCCAUGACGUUCUGUGAGAAUUGUUGGGUUUUGUGUGUGAGGAAAAACUGAACACAGAGACUGCUUUUUUUGUACAUAUUUGCCGUGUUUGUGUGACUUAAAUAAAGUGCAGCUCUCUCGUA